UCUACAUUGUUGUGUUAAGGCUGUUUCGAAUUCUUGUGAUUAUGAGAUUACAUAAGCUGGUAUGUGUGAAAUGAGUUUCAAAUCUAAGUCUAGUAAACAUUACAUUUGAAAUUUGAGAAUACAUAGGAUUGUAGACAAGGUUAUGGGAUCCAUAUGCUUGCGAGUGAUGAUCAUGCAUUGGCUCUAGUAGUGUGUGCCUCCUUGGGAGACUGAGAAUAUAAAGAUGCAAUAUCUGAGGCUUCUCUUAGCAUAGUUUAACUUAUUACUCUAUCAUUAUUUUUCUCGGCAAUAGAUAAUUGUAGAUAGGCUCUUGAAAAUUUCAAUUAAUAAUGCUUUGCUAAUGUCAAUCCUGCUUAUGUUACCAGUUGGUUGGUCGUCUGGACAAUAGUGCUGUUUCAGCCACUGGUGCAAAGUUGGCUUUUAAGUCUAAUGAAGAGAAAGCAGUUCAAGUAAGGACCGUCCCUCUUGAUGAUGUGAUUCCAGAAUCUGAACCUGUUCUUGUGCUCAAAAUUGAUGUUCAAGGCUGGGAAUAUCAUGUGCUGAAAGGAGAUAAGAAGUUACCGUCAAGAGCUGCAAGUGAAGCACAAUAUCUCAUUUAUGAGGAAGACGGGUGUUUGUUGGAAGCCAGUAAUAGCAGUAAAGUAGAGAUCCUCUUCUCUAGUGUGGGUUAUCGUCACUGCACGCAGCAUGGCACAGAUGCACACUACCAAGGAGGUUAACACAUAUAUCGUGCCUUGAGUUUUACCACAAGAAAUAGUACCAAACAAUAGUUGAAAAAAUUCUGAGACAGAUUACUCGAACAUGAUUCUCUCAGAUAAGUUACUCAAUGGUCUUUACAUAUAUCACUAUAGCAACAUGAGCAACCGCAUCCUAAAUGGUGGAAUCUGUAACAUAUCUAACUCCAUGUCUGGUGGUUGAAGACGAGCUUUUUUAAUUGUUUUGGGAAACCUCCUAUUGAAAGACAUUGUAAGGUGUUCUGGUGUAGAAAAAGCUGUUCAUUGAGAUAAAAGCAUAUCUUUGAAUAAUCUAGGAUGUAAACUUUGUGUUAUGUAGUUAGUUUUAAACAUUGGUUUUUUUCAUUCCGAGGAAUAGUUUCUGAAAUCAGUUUUUCAGCCAAGCUUUAUUCAAUAUAUUGUGCAUAACCACGAAAGCAGAGAUCGGCCUGUGGCAGAUCGCGUAAUUUCGAUCGAACAAAAUGUAGGGCUUUGAAGCGAUGACCUUCAAUGUUCACGGUGGGCCGGUGGCUACUUGGAGGCCAUCGUCUGGGGACAACAUGCCGAUCUUCUCACCGCCGCUGAUUACAACAAUCUGUGCCAGUCCGAGACCCUCGACAACAUUAAGAUGCACCUCUCUGCCAUCGAGUACGGCCCCUCCCUCCAAAACGGGCAAUCGUGAUGGGCCUGAUGCUUCAUACCAACACAAAGCAACUGAUUAAAGGACAAAAUUACCAAGAUGCAUUGGAAGUGCUCAGCAUUGCUUUAAUGAAGGCAUAACUUUAACUUUUUCUUUGGCAUGGGUUUGCCUUGCGUUUCUUAUACUUAGUCAUUACGAAAAUUUGAUGAGGACAGGAAGCACUGAGAGCUUUCGGUGUGCUACAUAUCCCAAUCAAGAACUUCAUGGCUUGAUACCUGAUCAUUUAUGAAGAAGAUGAAGUGGUGGCUGAAGGAAAGAUAUCUUCAACAAACCCAAGUACAAAAGUAAACCGGGAAGUACUCUGCUGUACUAGAUGCCCAAAGAAUUCAGAACUUUGUGAUGCAUGUUUUGUAAAGAAUUAUGUUUCAGAACUUCAAUGAAAUGUAUAUUUUUCUUAGUGUACUAAUAUUGGCAUGUGAA